rnacentral:lncRNA from 1 species
ACCCUACUCUAAUAAGGCUUUGAUAUCUGGAGCUCAUAGGUGGGACAUAAAAUAUACAUACUUACAAGACAUUUAUUGUAUAGUCAAACCAUGGAUCUAGAGAAACAAGUCAAUAAGUCAAAUCAGGAUGUGCAUGUGUGGCGAAUGAAUGGUAUAUGGUGAUGAUGGUGAUAACAAUGGUAAAAGUCUAAUUCUACUCUUGCUCUUUUAAGGGGAUACAUACCUUCCUUGCUCUUUUGAAACUUGGGGAGAAUGAGAUGCUCUGUAUUUUUUUUCUCACAGAUGGGUAUUUUGUACCCCUAAUUCUACUAUUGGACACUUGUCUAUUUUUACCUCUCGUCUCACUUUUUCUUUUCUUUCGAGGUUUCGGGCACUUGCCCUUUUUUAUUUCCUCAUAUCUUCUUUUUUUUAGAGUACUCAUCUCCUGAAAUAAUAUAGCAAGUGGUAGUAACCAAGAUAACUUGAGCAUUUAUUUCAUAGGGGAAAAUAGAAAUAUUUUUAGCUAUUCUCUCCCGGAUUAGGAGUAGAAUAUUUUUUGGGUGGUUCUGGAGAUGAAAAUGAGUGGAUAUAUGUGGAUGCGUACUUCCGGAGUAGAAGCAGCAUGUGUGAAUGAAUGUGCAAGUGAAUCUUGAAUUAACCACGUGACAAGCUCCUAAGGGUCUACACAACUUGACCACACUCAAUGCUCAUAAGUAGUAAAAAGUGAUUGUGUGGCUCAAAGUCUAGCAAGCAUGUAUAUAUGGCUGUGGUAGGAAUUUAAACUCUCAUCAUACAAGAACUCAUCAUGCAAUAUUUUAAAGAUUUUUCAAAGAUAAAAUUCUUCAGAAUUCUAGCAUCUCUAAGAAUAGAUAAACAACAGCUCAACCUUCCCAUAUCAUACCCGUUAACGACUUAGACUUCAGAUCAAGUUCUCUUCCCACAAGUUCAGGUUUAGAGCAAGCUUUAAAUUAUAACAGUUAUGUCUAAACUUGAGAGAAAACUCAAAUUUGAAAAUUAGGCAGAACAACUAUUCAUCACAUCCAUGCUAGAGUUUUAUUAUUAAGAUUCAGUUUAGCAUAGCCACUUUAUUUAUUUAUUAAACAUACUAAGCAAAAGAUAUAUAUAUAUAUAUAUAUAUAUAUAUAUAUAUAUAUAUCAGCAUAAAAUCUUUAUUUGGUUUUCCAUAGUUAUGUAUAUUUAUAGUUUAAUAUAAUAUAAGUAUAAAGAUAGAUAGAAAUACUUAGCGAGAUAAAUGGGGGUUCUCUCCCCCAAGCUGAAUUUUGACGUAAUUUCUUAUGAUGUAGCUGGGAGAGGUGUAUUUGAAAGUCGGCAGUAUCCUGAUAGUGAUUAGAAUGUCCUCCGUCUGCUAGUCUUCUUGAUUCUUAAAUCCUGUGGAGCUCAAAUAGACAACAAAGCUUUGUGAAACUGUGUUAGCAUAAAUAUCUAGCCUUUAUCAUGUUGAGCCUCAUAAAUAUUUAGCAUAAAUAUCUAGCCUUUUCGUUUUAAAGCAGAAAAGAAAUAUUUAUUUUAUUUUUGUGCCACCAUAGUGAAUGUACUUAUGGGUUUUAUGCCACUCGUAUACUUACAUGGGGCUUACUAUUUUUUUAACAUUUUUAUUUUCUUUUUAGGAUAGUAUGAACAUAAUUAACUAAGUGUCGAGGGUAUCAAUAAGGGGUACCCUCACCGAUGCACGUAAUGAGACUAUCCGUACGCAGGACGAGGCCCUCGACUCGACGCUCUAGCUGUACACAUGCGCAGCCAUCGACGGCCGUAGCCUCGAAGACGGAAAUAGCGUCGAACGAAUCAAUCAGGGGUCGAGUGCUAGCUACCGUCGAAUACGGGAGCGGGCUCGAGCGAAACGGAAAGCGUCGAGCGCAGGGACACUGUCCGCCGCCUGACGCGCGCACGAGAGCCAGGGCAUUUAAUGCACCUGCCGUUUUCCCACCUAACACACUGGUCAUGGGAAGCGUGAUAGGAAACAGGCACCCGUCCCAACGUUCUUUUUGCACCCUUCCCCGCCGAAUGUCCCAGGAUGUGUCAGGACGCGGGAAACAAGGAUGGAACGUCUAAUCGGGACCCCCUCGAGACAUCCAUGGUCAGCGCUCCGGAUAUCAGCACGUUACACGGCGUCCGACCCUCGACCGGACAGGGUUCCUUCCUGGGGACGAGUUGGGCGUCGACUGACUACAUCUCAACCACUCCGCCGGAUUUGCCGCCAUAUCGUACAAGCGUGCGACCGGUAAACCAGUCCAAGACGGCGCACAUAGCAGAAUGCAGGGGCACGCGUAAUCAUCACCAGGCUAUCGAGACGGGACGGCUUGAGGCCAUGCCGGUACGGAAGCCUCAAGUAGGUCAGCGCUCCAUGCUGCUAUCGACCCCUACUCUGACAUCUACGCAUGUACCCUAGGUCUCUCCUUGGAGCUAUAAAAGGAGGGACUUAGGAAUAGAACGGAUAGGGACACUACGCCCAUACGCAGUAGAACUCCCAUACUUCAUACCAUGCUUGUAUUCACCCCUAUACAAGCACUUAGGUGCAAGAUAAUACGAACCUCCCUCCCCCGCUGGACGUAUGGCCUUCUCUUGCUCGAACCAGGAUAAAUCUUUGUGUCUUCUUGCAUCACCAUCUGGGAAAGGGAGCACGCAUACUAAUUUACUCGUUGACGUGACCCCCCGGGGGGAAAACGCCGACAGUUAGCGCGCCAGGUAGGGGUCCUGUGUGUUUUUCAUCGAUUUCCCACUCCUUUCCAGAUGGCUGCUCUCGCCUCGCCGAUUCCGCGCUCCACGGUGAUUUGGUUUGGGAGUCUCGAGUUCAUGUCUACGGGCUCCGGCUACGACAUGAUCUUGCUCUCAGUCAAAGGACCAGGAGGAACCCGUGUUGCACCAACACGGUCGAGGGCCCCGAGACGCCCUCGCCACCACGCCUCCCCGCCCAAGAAGAGGCGCGGAUAGCAUCACCGCCGCUCCUCUGCUUCAUCACGACCGACAACUCGUGCGAAGCAGGAGGUGGGCCACGAGCCGGCAGCACCAUAUGCCGGAACCACGGGCAUGACGGCUCAGCACGGCACGACGACGGGAGGGGACGUGUCUCACGCGCCCUCCCCCACCGCCGCUAAGCUACUUCCACACGGGUUGGCACUGCCAUUCGGAUUGGACAAUCCCGCGGCGUCGCUCGCCAGAGCAAUAUGCCCAAACGCCCAGACGUACGUAGAGAGACCAAUGGUCCUCCCACGUAACUCUGAGGCACUACGACCGACGUCCGAACUGCCGGAUUUCUCCGAGGUGCGAGGCCUCCACCGCCUAGGCCCUGGGCGAUACACGAUCACCUCACUCAGGCAACGGCUGGUGGAGGAGGGACGGACACACUUCUACGCCGCCGAGCCGGACUCCGACUCCGAGACAGAUGGCUACGACCCUACGAGGGAAUGCUAUCACGUCGACGGGGCAGUAGAGACUACUGACGAGACGCAGGAUGCUGCAAUGGGUGGUCGGGCCCCUGCAGCACGGGAAGACCCCAGGACGCCUGGGAACGACGGACAGGUCGACCCCCCUCCACAGGAAGACAAGGUUGCGCAGCUUGCACAACUACGAGAGCUCAAGAUGAAGCUCGAUGAAGACCGUGAGCACCUCGUCCUGCUUGAGCAAAUCCUUGAGCAAGACCUGCCCUACCCGCCGGGCGGAAGUGUCCGCAGACGCGCUCGAGAGGUACAUCGACAAAUCGUCGGAGACGCAGAGCCGGAGCAGCCCGUCAGCCGUUUCCCUCGAGCGGGCCAAAAUGUAGUGGCAGCGACGAUGCUACUGCGCAACAUGCCAGAACCGUCGAACUCCCAGGCUCGGCGCAUUCGAGAUGAGGUACAGACUCUGCUCCAGGUGGCAGCAGUUCAACAAGCCGAAAGCUCAGCUUCUCGACGACGAGGAGGUGCCACUGAAAAGCGCGACGAGCCGCCUCAAAAUGAAAAGGAGGUGUUAGUCCAUCAACAGCCUCCUCCUCGAGGCAGAAAGACCGCUCUCGUUCUCCCCAUCGACAAUCAACGUCGACACGACGCGCGGCAUGACAUCGAAGAUAAUCGACGCCGCCGGCACGGGGAUGCGGAAGAGCGCGGUUACAGUGCACAUCGUGGUGGGAGGUAUGACAGCAACGAGGACCGGGUGGCCCCCGAGCCACCGGGCCCACGGGUGUUCGGCAGGGCGAUCCGCUGCACACCCCUGCCUAGUCCAUUCCGACCCCCCGACCAGCAUCGCGAAAUACAAUGGUGAGACCAAACCAGAAUUAUGGCUGGCCGAUUUUAGGCUGGCCUGUCAGCUAGGUGGCGCUCGAGGAGAUGAUCGAGCCAUCAUCAGACAGCUACCGCUCUUUCUCUCCGACACCGCCCGUCGAUGGCUCGAGGAACUUCCAGCAAAUCAGAUUCACGACUGGGUCGAUUUGGUUAAAGUUUUCGAGGGUAAUUUCAAAGGGACCUACAUACGGCCCGGGAACUCGUGGGACCUCAGCAAAUGCAAGCAGAAGUCAGGAGAAACUCUUCGAGAGUAUGCUCGACGCUUCUCGAAGCAGCGCACUGAGCUGCCACAUAUCCCUGACCAUGACGUCAUCCUGGCUUUUGUCUCUGGUACCACCAGUCGAGACUUAGUGCGGGAACUGGGCUGAAAUCGCCCUCAGACCGUCGAUGAGCUGAUGGACGUAGUGGCGAACUACACAGCAGGGGAAGAGGCAGUCGGCGCUUUCUUCAGCUGUGAAGGAGGGAAAGGCAAGCGGCCUAUCGAUAAAGAUGGAACCCCCAGUCGAGGGCUCAAGAAAAACAAGAAGAAGCAGAAAGCACGGCAGUUGCAAUGGGAAGAUUUCGACGACAACCUUGUCGCCGCCAUGGAGCGGAAGAAGCCUCGAGUCCCUCCAGAUGGGGGUAUCUUCGAUAAGAUGCUAGAGGAACCAUGCCCUUACUAUAAGGGAGGCGCCAACCACAAGCUCAAGGACUAUCGCAUGCUGAAAAGGCAUUUCGACGGUCUAGGGUUCAAAAGGGAUGAGCGUGAUGACUCGAAGAAGGAGAAGGGCGGCGACAAAGAGGGCAACAAGGACGACGACGGCUUCCCCGCCGUCCACGACUGCUACAUGAUCUAUGGUGGGCCUUCGACACAGUUGACCACAAGGCAGCGCAAAAGGGAACGUCGUGAGGUCUUCACGGCAAGGAUGGCGGUGCCCCAGUACCUCAGCUGGUCGAGCACCCCCAUCACCUUCGAUCGAGAGGACCACCCCGAUAAGGUAGUCGCCCCAGGCGUCUACCCGCUCGUCGUCGACCCUAUCAUCAUCAACACCAGGCUCUCCAAGGUGCUAAUGGACGGAGGCAGCAGCCUCAACAUCAUCUACCUCGAGACCCUCGACCUCCUUGGCAUCGAUAGGGGACGGCUCCAGCCAAGCGCCGGCGGUUUCCAUGGCGUCGUGCCAGGAAAAAAGGCAUUGCCCGUAGGUCGAAUCGACCUACCGGUCUGCUUUGGCACGGCGGCCAACUUCAGGAAGGAGACCCUCACCUUUUAGGUGGUCGGGUUCCGUGGCACGUACCACGCCAUCAUCGGGCGCCCGGGCUACGCCAAGUUCAUGGCCAUACCCAACUACACCUACUUGAAGCUGAAGAUGCCCGGUCCCAAAGGCGUCAUCACUGUUAGCUCCUCCUUUGAGCACGCUUACGAGUGCGACGUCGAGUGCGUCCAGUAUGGGGAGGCAGUCGAGAACUCCACCGAGCUCGUCGCGAAACUCGAAGCCCUAGUCGCUGAGGCUCCAGAGCCCAAGCGCCACGCGGGCAACUUCGAGCCAGUAGAGGGAACCAAGAAGAUCCCACUCGACCCCAACAACUCCGACGGCAAGGUGCUGACGAUCAGCGCCGACCUCGACCCCAAAUAGAAAGUUGUGCUCGUCGACUUUCUCCGUACGAACGCCGACAUGUUUGCAUGGAGUCCCUCAGACAUGUCGGGCAUACCGAGGGAAGUCGCCGAGCACUCCUUGGAAAUUCGAGCCGGUUCCAAGCCAGUGAAGCAGCGGUUGCGCCGAUUCGACGAGGAGAAGCGCAGGAUCAUUGGCGAGGAAAUCCACAAGCUUUUGACGGCCGGAUUCAUCAAGGAGGUUCAUCAUCCCGACUGGUUAGCAAACCUUGUAUUAGUUAAGAAAAAGAAUGGGAAAAUGAGGAUGUGUGUCGAUUAUACAAGUUUAAAUAAAGCAUGUCCGAAAGUCCCUUUUCCAUUACCACGUAUUGAUCUGAUUGUCGAUUCUACUGCGGGAUGUGAAACCCUUUCUUUCCUUGAUGUGUAUUCUGGUUGCCAUCAAAUAAAAAUGAAAGAGUCCGACCAGCUCACAACCUCUUUCAUCACACCUUUUGGGAUGUAUUGCUAUGUAACCAUGCCGUUUGGGCUUCGAAACGCGGGAGCCACGUACCAACGCUGCAUGCUCCACGUAUUUGACAAACACAUAGGAUCGACGGUCGAGGCCUAUGUCGACGACAUUGUCGUCAAAUCGAAAAGGCGAGGAGACCUGGUCCAGGACCUCACGAUCGCUUUUAGCUGCCUACGCACCAACCAGAUCAAGCUUAAUCCCGACAAAUGCGUCUUCGGCGUGCCUCGAGGCAUGCUCUUGGGUUACAUUGUUUCUCAGCACGGCAUCGAGGCCAACCCCAAGAAAGUCUCGGCCAUCACAAGAAUGAGGCCGAUCCGAGACAUCAAGGGUGUGCAAAAAGUUACGGGAUGCCUGGCGGCUCUAAGCCGUUUCAUCUCGAGACUAGGAGAAAGGGCGUUACCAUUGUAUCGACUUUUGAAGAAGGUCGAGCGUUUUUCUUGGACCCCCGAGGCCGAGGAAGCUCUCGAAAAGCUGAAGAAAACGCUAACCUCAGCACCAGUCCUGGUCCCACCUCAACCUGCGGAACCACUGCUCCUUUACGUUGCGUCGACGACCCAGGUCGUCAGUGCAGCGGUGGUGGUCGAGAGGCAGGAGGAGGGGCAUGCGCUGCCAGUCCAGAGGCUAGUCUAUUUCGUCAGCGAAGUGCUUUCGGAGACCAAGGCACGUUACCCCCAAAUCCAGAAGCUGAUCUACGCCGUAAUCCUCGCCCGCCGCAAGCUACAGCACUACUUUCUUGGCCACCCCAUCACGGUGGUCUCGUCUUUCCCCUUGGGCGAGAUAAUCCGGAGCAAGGAGGCCACGGGAAGAGUAGCUAAAUGGUCGGUCGAGCUCAUGAGUGAGACUCUCACUUACGUGCCCCGCAAGGCCAUCAAAUCGCAAGCCCUGGUGGACUUCAUCGCGGAAUGGACAGACUCCCAGCUUCCCCCGACUCAGGUCCAGUCUGAGCUGUGGACGAUGUAUUUCGAUGGGUCGCUCAUGAAGACGGGGGCCGGGGCCAGCCUGCUGUUCGUCUCGACCUUGGGCAUCCAUGUGAGGUACGUCAUCAGGAUUCAUUUUGCCGCAUCCAACAAUGUCGCAGAAUACGAGGCCCUCGUCAACGGUCUUAAGAUUGCCAUCGAGCUAGGAGUCCGACGCCUCGACGUCCGAGGUGACUCCCAACUUGUCAUCGACCAAGUGAUGAAGACUUCAAGCUGCCACGACCCAAAAAUGGAGGCGUACUGCAAGGAAGUCCGUCGACUCAAGGACAAGUUCCAUGGCCUCGAGCUCGUCCAUGUCGCCCGACGCUACAACGAGGCAGCCGACGAACUCGCCAAGAUCGCGUCGACCCGAGGCACGGUCCCACCUGACGCGUUCUCAAGAGAUCUCCACGAACCAUCUGUCGACUUGAGCUCGGGGGCUGGUGUCGAUGCCGCUCCCGCCAAGCCAACCGACACCGUUGACGCACUGCUGAUGGCAGCAGAGGUGAUGGAGGUAGAACAGCGACCAGGUCGACCGUUUGACUGGCGCACACCGUCCCUCGACUGCCUAAUCCGCUACGAGCUGCCAGAAGAUCGAUCAGAGGCCCGCCGCGUCGCUCGACGGGCCAAGUCAUACGUGAUCUAUGGCGAAGGCAACGAGCUAUAUCGACGAAGCCCGAUAGGGGUCUUACAGCGUUGCGUCACCGUAGAAGAAGGCCGAAAACUCCUCGAGGACAUAGACUCGAGGGCUUGCGGCCACCAUGCUGCUCCACGGACCCUCAUGGGGAACGCCUUUCGACAAGGUUUCUACUGGCCAACGGCCGUGGCAGAUGCCAUCGAGCUUGUACGCUCAUGUCAUGGGUGCCAGUUCUACGCCAAACAGACGCAUCUGCCCGCCCACGCUCUUCAGAUGAUCCCCAUCACCUGGCCGUUUGCGGUGUGGGGGCUCGAUUUAGUAGGACCUCUACAAAAGGCGAAAGGGGGUUACACCCACCUGCUGGUGGCCAUCGACAAAAUCUCCAAAUGGAUCGAGGCUCGACCCAUCACCAACAUCCGCUCCGAACAAGUCGUCCUCUUUUUCACGACAUCAUACACCGAUUCGGAAUCCCUAACGUGAUCAUCACCGACAACGGCACCCAGUUCACCGGCAAAAAGUUCUUGGACUUCUGCGAUCAGCAUCACAUCCGUGUGAACUGGUCCGCGGUGGCUCACCCUCGAACUAACGGCCAGGUCGAGCAUGCCAACGGCAUGAUCUUGUAGGGGCUCAAACCAAGGAUCUACAAUCGCCUGAAGAAAUUCGGCAAGAAGUGGGUCGAGGAGCUUUCCUCGGUCCUAUGGAGUUUGAGGACGACGCCAAGCCGGGCCACCAAAUACACCCCGUUCUUCAUGGUCUAUGGCUCUGAGGCCGUGCUCCCAAAGGACCUCGAGUAUGGAUCUCCUCGACUCAAGGCAUACCACGAGCAGUCGAAUAAGGAAGCUCAAGAGAAUGCGGUCGACCAGCUUGAGGAGGCUCGAGACAUGGCCCUCCUCAACUCUGCCAGAUACCAGCAGAAGCUUCGACGCUACCACGACAAACACGUACGAAAGAGGGACUUGAACGUGGGCGACCUUGUCUUGCGAUGACGGCAAAGCAAUCAAGGAUGCCACAAGUUGACUCCGCCUUGGGAAGGCCCGUACGUGGUGGCCGAGGUCUUGAAGCCAGGAACGUACAAGUUAGCGGACGAGAAGGGGGCGGUCUUCACCAACGCAUGGAACAUCGAACAGCUACGUCGAUUCUACCCCUAGAAGUUCAAAACUUAUGUUCCUACGCACAUUUUGUACCAAGACUUUGUAAACGAAUGCAUGAAUAAAUGAAGUCUUUCCCUCGAGCAACUUCUUCUUAUACCAAGGCUUUAUAAGUCAUAAUCUCGACGUUAGGAGGAGGCGCCGACUAUGACCCAUCAUAGUCAACACCCCCUCGGGGGCUACCAGGGGGACGACCCCCCCCAAGCGUUGAAAAAGCAAAGAAAUUUUCUCUUCUUACUUAGUAAACCUUGCACGACUCGAGUAGCUAAGGUGCCUCGAGCCCCUCAAAGGUCGAGGGACAACGAGCCUGAGAACUACGCCCCCGGGCUACGAAAACUCUACACACUUCCUUACCCUUGAGGUGAUCGAGGUUGUUUUUGACGAAAGAUCGAACAAGGAAUACAAACGUAGGAGCGAAGAGAAACAAAAAACCUCGAGCGGAAAGACAGAUAAACAUUUAACAAAUAUUUAAAGACACUGCAUCACUUAAAAAGCAUGUUAACAAAGUAUUAUACAAGGGGGCCCGGGCACCCUGAGCAGGCUCGCAGGCCUCAGUCCAUGGCACGAUCGUCACCGCCCCCGCCUCCGCCCGAGCCAGUCUCAGGAGGAAGCACCUCAGGCUCAAGAAGCUUAGCCAGCCUUUCCCCAGGAGCCUCCGCGUCGUCGAUCAAGGCGUGGAGCCUCUCUUCGUUCUGCGCGUCGGUUUUGGAGAUGUCGGUGACGAAGCCGUGGGACACCACCUCCGUGUCAUAGGAGAAGCCCGAGCAGACAACUGCCAUCGCCCGCUUCACCCCGAUAUGGAGGGCGUCCCGCACUCGGUCUCUCAGCGUCGCGCCUAAGUAGCACAGCUGGUCGACCAGUGCGUCGCCUCGAGCUCCCUCCCUCGACUCGUCCAUAGGCUCGACCUCCCAAGAUGUCGAGAGGUCGCUUAUCGCAGUCCGCACGCGACGGUUCAAAGCAACCUCCGCCUCGAGCUGGGCGUUAGCAUUACGGGCCUCGACUUGGGCGGCUAGGAGUUCGUCCUUAAGCCCUGUAAACGCCAAUGCAAGAAACUUUAGAAAAAACCAAGUACACCUCAAAAAAGAAAUCUGACAAAGGAAACGUACCGCAGACGCUCUCCUCCAGGGCCGUAUUCUCGCCAACUAGCCUGGUGUUGGCCCUCUCGAUCUCUCUGUUGGAACGUGCCAGAUCAGUGUUGGCAACGCGGAGAUCCUCGAUCACCUUGCCAGCCUAAGCAAUGGCCCCACUCUUCUCCAACAGCUCUCCCUUCAGACGUUCGACGUCGUCAGAGAGACUGCGGGAUUGAGCCCGCUCCACCUCGAGAUCUUCGAGGGCCUUCCUCUUGGCUUCCUCCACGGCGCUCCUGGCGAUCUCGCCAUUCACGUGAUCCACCUUCAUCUUUUGGAAGGACUCUUGGAGAGAGUCCAGGUUGGUUUUAAGAAGGCCCUUCUCUUUGUCCAGAUCCGCGAUAACGCUCUUGUAGGACAGGGCCUCCUCCCGGGCUCUGGACGCAGCCUCCUCGACCGUCAGAGCCCGCUCCCGCAGCAGCGUCGUCUCCUCCUCCGCCUUUCUUGAGGCCUCUCGAGCCUCGGCCAAAGCAGCCUCCCUCGCCUUCUUCUCCUCCUCGAGCGCUAUGAGGUCUUUAUAAGCCUUGAGGAGUUUCUCCUGCGACUCGAGGAGUUGGUCCUUGAGGACAGGGAGCUGCUCCCAACCGCCUCUUGUGGCGUGAAUGAAGCUCGACUUGAUGCGGGAGGUCUCUUUCAUGUCCUGCGAGCCAGCGGUCGAAUAGUUAGAACACAAAACCAAAAGGUUCCAUGAAGAUCAAAGAUCGAAAAACACUUACAAAAUAAGCCGGCCCGAGCCCGUUGUUGAUGAUGUCCGACAGGAGCCCCACCACGUGCUUCAUCCAAAGGCGGAGCUCCUCGACAUGCUCCCACUUCUCGGCCUCCUUGUCGUCGAGGAAGAUGUUGGGCUCGGACGGGUCGGUGGAAGCUCGGAUACGAAUCCGGUCGGGGCACCAGUUCUCCAUCUCUCGAUCAGCCCGCGCCUUCACACCGUGGAUAAGGUUCUCGACGGUCUCGAGGGAGCCCCUGUGGCGCAGGAAUAGAUCGACGAGGCAUGGGAACCGCCCGUUGUCAUCCACCGUCUUCCAGGUACCGUCCUUGCUUCCCGACGUCCCGAUCUCGUCCUCCUCAGAGGGAAAUCGAUCCUCCCACGCCCGACGCUCCCGGAGGAACCCUGGGGCGAUCCCGUCCAUGCCGUAGAUCGUCCUCUUGAUCUCGGAUUCGGGGUCGGUGGGGGUGCGCAUCAUGCAGGCAACUGCCACCACACCAUCCGCUCACCCCGGCUCUGCCCGGAUCGCGGCGGGCGCCCCCGGAAGGAGCCACGCUGGGGUCGGGGGGCCGUACACCGGCAAAUCUUCUUCCUGCUCGCCAGGCUCUUGCGGCGCCGGCGGCACUGGUUGAGGAAGAUCUUGAGGCAGGGGCUCAAGCGGCUUUUCUUCUUGGCUCCCCUGAUGCUGCUGCCGCUCCACCUCGAGCGCUUGCUGUUGGUGCUCCACCUGCUGCUGUCGCUGUCGCUGCUCCUGCUGCUGUUGCUGCUGCUGCUGCUGCUGUUGCUGUUGUUGCUCCUCAUGCUCCUGCAGCUGCCGCGUUGCCUUGCGCUCCCGCUCCUCAUCCUCCUCCCCUUUCUUCUUCUGCUCCUCGAGGGCGCGGAGACCAGCGGGCCAGGGAGUCCGUCCCGUGAUGAGGGACGUCGACGCCUCCUCCUCCAUAGGGUGGGCAUCCCCCGACGUCUCGUUGCCACCAGACGUGUCGCUUAUGGUAAUGGGUUCCGCCUCGACCCCCAAUCGGGGAGGCUCGGGGGCUCCUCCUUGCCCCUGAGUCUGGGGCGCCUCAACCCGCGCCGGCGGCGACGGGGCAGGCUCAAGACGAGGCGGGGCGCUCUCAGCGUCGGCCGGAGGACGAGGGUCGGAGGAGCCUGCAAAACAAAGAACAGAAGCCGGUCACUAUGACGACCAACAGAAGAACAUCACGAGUACCUAAAGUAAGCCACGAACCUGGCUCCUUGGAGGCAGCUCCCACUUUGAGCCUCUUCGCCAUUGAGGGCUGGGCCUACUCGAGCGUCCGCUUUAGCCUAAAAAGAAGGAAACGAGCAUGAAAAGACCAGAAUACAAGGAAACGCGAGGGAAUGGAAGUCACAACUUCAAAAAGCUUACCCUACGGGAAGAACAGCUCGCCUACCGGUCCCCCGACCGGUGGGCCUCGAGCCACCCCGCGUCAAGGCUCCGGGCCCCUCGAGCGCAGGCACUGGCCCUGGCGCAGCAAUUCCCGCGUGGCGGGCGCCGGGACUAGUGCUCCUGCGGCCGGCCUCUCCUUUCUCGGAGGCCGCAGCGCGACCACGAGUCAGUGGCCCCGUCGCCAGGGACCUAGCAUGGCCACCACCCCUGGGCGCGGGGGGAGGGCGCGGCGCGACCUGGCCAGUCGAGGGCGCAGGAGGCAUGUCGGCCUGAGGGCGGUGGGACCCGCUCGGGCCCUCCUUCAGAGUCUCCGUCCGGGGGACGUCGACGUCACCUCGAGGCGGGCCUUCGAGGAUCUGGUCAAGACGUGACGCCAUCCCCUCGGAGUUGUCACUAUCCUCGUCGUCAUCAUCGUCGUCACUGGGAGAUUCUUCCUCAGGCUCCCCCCUCUGCCUGGAUUUGGCUCGACGUGUCUCCAAAGCUUGGCGGUCGAGGUUCUUCUUCUUCUCCCCUUUCUUUGCGGAGUCCUUGGCGGACUUCAGCUUUUCGGCGGACUGGCGCCGCCUGUCACGAUCGACCUCGUCCUCCUUCACAGGGGGCCUUAAGGACCGGACAUCAAUACGUCCCUGCCAGAGUAAAGGAAGGUUUAAAAAAAGAAUCGAGGAAAAUCCAGAAUCGGAGCUAUGUGCGAGAAAAGAACAUACCAGGUCGACCGAACCUUCAUCGGGCCUCAUAGGGAAGACGUUGACGUGCUUCGACUUAAAGUCACCGGUGAUGGCUGCCCUAACCCGGAUACCGGGACGAGACGCCCGGCCCCAUCUCGUCCAUCCUCAACGGCCGAGACAUCAAAGGGUGGACCCUUCGACGAUGGACGGCCGAGAGGACGAGAGCGGCGGACAGGCCCUCCAGGCGCAGCUUCUUCAUGGCGUCGAGGAGGGGGUCGAGCCGCGACUGGUGCUCUUGGACGACGCCGUACGUCCAGUUGUCCGGGCGCUCUGUAAUCAGACGGCCCGUGUAAGCGGGGAAGAGACCGUCGUCAUUCCUCAAGUAGAACCAUUGGGAGUCCCACCCAGCGUGGUUUGACGACAGCCCCACUGGGAUAUACUCGCGUGGCCUCUCCGUCUUCUUCGUCUUCAGCACCAGGUUGAGGCACCCGGCCCGCACGUGCUUCCUCACGCCGGUGGUUCCGGUGGGGGCAUUGAAAAGCUCACCCCUAUAGAGGUGGAGCCACAGAUCCUAGUGGGGCAUCAUCCCCAGAUAGCCCUCACACACCGCGGCGAAUACCGCCGCGACGGUGAUGGCGUUCGGGGAGAAAUGCUGGAGCUCCACCCCAUAGUGGAAGCAGAGGGCCCGCAUGAAGCGGCUCGGGGGAGCGCCCAGGCCGUGGCGGUGGAACUUGGCGAACGACACCACGUAGCCCUCGGGCGGCUGGGGCUCCCUGUGGCCCGCCGGCGGCGUGAUCCACUCUGGCGACGACAGCGAGGUGCGGCGACGCAAGAGUCCCUCGCUCUCGAGCUCUAGCAGCCGGCGCUCCGUCAUCGACGAUGGGCGCCAGUCGUCGGUGGCGACGAGUGUCACUGGCAUCUUGGCUGAAAGGACGGUGGAUUCGCUACUGCUCGAAGGGGCGCAUGCGUGAGUAAGACAACAAGAGAAUUAAGGCGAUGAAAGGAUGAAGGCAAGGAGGCGGAAGGAAGAAGGAAGAGCGGCGGCGGUGCCACGACGUAUUUAUAGGCAACGAUCCGCCAACGGAUAGAUCCGAGAAAUGAGGCAACGCCCCCCCUUAAAUGCGCCACCUAACAGUCUCUCUCCCCUCACAGGCGGGCGCUCCGAAUUCCACGCCGACGCAGUGUCGUAACAUCAUCCGCCUAAAAAGGUGCGCCCAACGAGCAAAAAGGCGAACCGCCGUGGCAGCUUCCUUCCCUAGUAAGCCAAGGGGCGUACCCGCGAAAGCCUCGAGAGGUUGCAGGUUGGCCCACCGAAAGGGUUCGACAACCGAUCUCGAGCACCGGAGUCAGGGAUUCCCAUCGAGCGGUCGAAGAUUGAGGCCUGCCUCGAAGACUCGCUGGGGAUGUCCAAGGUAGGGUCGAGACAGUCGAGAGGAAUCCCCCCGACGGGAGGCAUCGAGCCGCUGGACUCUAUCGAAUGAGACCGGUAUCCCCGACCACGUCGACCCUGCUUUAUAAGAACGCCUCCGGGCUACAGCUGACCCCCUCGAAAGGGGCACAGGUUCUCACUUGGACUACCCGCUAGGAACUCGAUCUGGGGUGGAAGACGCUCGCUCUAUCGAGAGUACGUCGAAACCUCUGCGCAAAGCAAGCCAAUCAGAACCUUCCACCACUGGUGUCGAUAGUGUUUCUGCAAAAUAGGCAGUAUAACCCUCGAAGGAGUAAAAAACUCCUUCAAGGGCUCGGGGGCUACCCCCGCGGGGUCGCUCGCGCGCCCCCACGGAAACUCGACCCAAGAGUAAAAGCCUCCACUCGAGCGCCAACGCUCAAAUGGAGACUCGGGGGCUACUGUCGAGGGUAUCAAUAAGGGGUACCCUCACCGAUGCACGUAAUGAGACUAUCCGUACGUAGGACGAGGCCCUCGACUCGACGCUCUGGCCGUAGACAUGCGCAGCCAUCGACGACCGUAGCCUCGAAGACGAAAAUAGUGUCGAACGAAACAAUCAGGGGUCGAGCGCUAGCUACCGUCGAAUACGGGAGCGGGCUCGAGUGAAACGGAAAGCGUCGAGCGCAGGGACACUGUCCGCCGCCUGACGCGCGCACGAGAGCCAGGGCAUUUAAUGCACCUGCCGUUUUCCCAAUUAACACACUGGUCACGGGAAGCGUGAUAGGAAACAGGUACCCGUCCCAUCGUUCUUUUUGCAGCCUUCCCCGCCGAACGUCCUAGGAUGUGUCAGGACGCGGGAAACAAGGAUGGAACGUCUAAUCAGGACCCCCUCGAGACAUCCAUGGUCAGCGCUCCGGAUAUCAGCACGUUACACGGCGUCCGACCCUCGACCGGACAGGGUUCCUUCCUGGGGACGAGUUGGGCGUCGACUGACUACAUCUCAACCACUCCGCCGGAUUUGCCGCCAUAUCGUACAGGCGUGCGACCGGUAAACCAGUCCAAGACGGCACGCAGAGCAGAAUGCAGGGGCACGCGUAAUCAUCACCAGGCUAUCCAGACGGGACGGCUCGAGGCCAUGCCGGUACAGAAGCCUCAAGUAGGUCAGUGCUCCAUGCUGCUAUCGACCCCUACUCUGACAUCUACGCAUGUACCCUAUGUCUCUCCUUGGAGCUAUAAAAGGAGGGACUCAGGAAUAGAACGGACAGGGACACUACGCCCAUACGCAGUAGAACUCCCAUACUUCAUACCAUGCUUGUAUUCACCCCUGUACAAGCACUUAGGUGCAAGAUAAUACGAAGCUCCCUCCCCCGCUGGACGUAGGGCCUUCUCUUGCCCGAACCAGGAUAAAUCUUUGUGUCUUCUUGCAUCACCAUCUGGGAAAGGGAGCACGCAUACUAAUUUACUCGUUGACGUGACCCCCCGGGGGGAAAACGCCGACACUAAGUAAACUAUUUUAAAUAUUUAAAAAGGGAAAGGAUAACUACCAAGAUUACCUCUUGGCAAGGCGCUCGGUGUUUCUAAGUCCUCUGAAUGGGACUCUCUGUUUUCUCAGUUGUCCAAGGAUUCGUUGGGUGGCGUAGUCGGUGCUUCCGGCGGCGCCUCCUCUUCGUUUAUAGUUAUCUUCUAUUUCUACACUUGACUCGGUGUUACGGUCUCCUCAGGAUAAUUUUGUUCAAGCUGUAUUUCUUCAGACCUUACUACUUCUCCUUCAUAGUCUGCCCAUCCGUCCUUGAUGAUUUGCCUCUUCUGGUUGCGGUUGCGUCGUCUUCUUCUUGUCCUGACCUGCUUAGAGUCUUCAACGAUAUAGUUAGGGUCAGUAAAAUAGCGGCGUACCUUCUUUGAGGGGAAGUGCAUAUGGACUUCUCCAGUUGCAAUGUAGAUGAUUGCUUUAAUGGUUCUGAGGAACGGUCUUCCAAGGAUGACGGGUGGAUCAUAUUCUUGUUCUCCCAUGUCAAUAACCUGAAAGUCUGUAUAGACAAAAUGAUCAUCUAUUUUGACAGGGACAUAAGUUACUAUACCUUUAACCUCUCGAAAUGUCUGAUCUGCCAUCUGGAGCUGAAUGUAUGUUGGUUUUACGGGCAUGGUUCUGAACAAGAGCCGAUAGGUGACUGCAGUCAUUAUGUUGACGCCCGAUCCGGUGUCGCAAAACGUCUUGUAGAAGUUGUACCCAUUUAUGGAGCAAUAAAUGCUUGGCAUUCUUGGGUCAUCAUUCUUGGUCAGAAACAGUGACUUAAGUCGAUGAUCUUGUCCUUCAUGAACUGCAGUGACCAUUUUAGCUGACUCGGUCCACACUUGCUUGUUCCUGUUCCUCCUGUUGGUCCUCUUCCUUGGUUAAUGUCGAGUUUGCUCUGGGAUUUGUGUAGUCUUGUCCUUGAGGAAAAACGUCUCCUUCCUCCCUUUGAUGUAGAAACUGAUCUUGGCAGCACUAGCGUAGAUGACAGCUCCCGAGGUGUUCAAGAAUGGCCUCCCUAAGAUGAUGGGUGCCCUCUCAUCAUUACCGGUCUCUAUCACCACAAAGUCUGCUGGGGCGUACAAGGUACCAACUCGAACGCAGAGGUUCUUCAAUAUUCCCUUUGGGAAAUAUAACGCCUGAUCUGCAAACUGCAAACACAUGGUUGUUUCUAAUAAAGGAUAUGUAAAGAAUUUUUCAUAGAGUACCCUGGGCAUAAUGUUGACGCUGGAGCCAUAGUCGCAGAGUGCUUCUGGGAAGUCUACCAUGCCGAUGGAGAUCGGGAUGACGGGGCGUCCUGGAUCACCUCUCUUGACCGGCAGAAGGUCAGUAGUAACUUUAGUGAUGGGGUUACUCCAGUAGUUACCUGCAUCAAACAUAUCUACAAGAUUUGCAGAUUCUAAUCCUUCCGGUUGUUAUGGUAUACCGGGGUUAGUAGCAGGAACAACAACAGCUAUUUGAUUUAACCGAGAUUCAAUCAUUUUAUUAAAGCUAAUUUGAUUCUUGAUGGCAGUAGAGAAAUUAUCCAUUCUAUUAUUUAUAUUUUCUAGCAUUUUGUCAUUAGAUGCCAAUUUCUUAGAUAGUUUAUCCAUUAGCUUUCCUUGAUUAGACACUAACUCUCUUAGAGGUGGAAAAUUAUUAUUAUUGUUGUAAGAAUUGUUACCUUGAUAAUUACCUUAGUAGUUAGGCCUUUGUUGAUUCCAACCUUGAUUUUGUUGAGGACAGUUGUAGUAGUUAUUGUUGUUGUUGUUGUUGAUGUAGUUCACAUCCUCAAGCAUCUCAGGGCAAUGAUUGUCUAAGUGUCCAGUAUUUCCACACUCCUCACAAGUCAUGUAGAUGUGCAUAACUUCUUUCUUAUCUCCAGCUCUAUCAUCGAGCUUCUUCAUGAGGAGGUCUAGCUUUGCUGACAGCAUGUCUACCUCCUUGAGCUGGUGCAUACCUCCACCUCUCUUGCGUGUUUGGGUCCUCUCUUCAUUCCAACCUUGUUUGGACGCCAUCUUCUCCACAAGAGUUGUGGCUUGUGGUAUGGUGAGUGAUAGGAAUGCUCCUCUAGCUGCAGCAUCCAUGGUCUCUCGGGCACUGUUGCCGAGCCCAUGAUAAAAUGUCUGCAUCAGUAGCCAACUCUCCAUUCCAUGAUGGGGACAUUCUAGGAUGUAGUCUUGGAAGCGCUCCCAUUCUUUUAGAACAGAUUCAUCAUGUUGUUGCUAAAAACUUGUAAUCUUCCCACGGAGAGCAUUGGUCUUGCCCAUGGGAAAGAACUUAGCCAGAAAGUUCGUGGAGCAGAGUGCCCACGUAGUAAUCUUCUCCUUUGUAGCGUAGAACCACUCCUUCGCUCUCCCUAACGGUGAGAAUGGGAAGAGGCGAAGUAGUAUAGCAUCUCUAGGGACUCCUGAUAUGGUGAAUGUGCUGCAAAUCUCCAGAAAGUGUUGGAGAUGAGCACUAGCAUCUUCAUGUGCCUUCCCACAGAACUGGUUGGAUUGCACCAUGUUGAUAAGUCCAGGCUUGAGCUCAAAGUUGCCAUCGAUCUCUGCAGCAGGUCCAGUGCGGAUGUUGUCCAUAGUGGGAGCUGAGAACUCACGGAUCAUUUUGUUUGCCAUGACUUCGAACUCAGAAGACAGGUUCCGGGUGAAACUUCAGCGAUCUUCUUGAUUGGAUGAAGCUUCGUGCUGAAGUGUUGAUGAUCUCUUCUUGAGCUUGGCUCUUGUUUUUUUGAAUAAUGCUUCGGGAUUGUCAACAAAAUUUCCUGGAAGAUGUCUUCUAUUCAUACAUUACCUUGCAUAAAAUAAAAUAAAAAAUAACAGGGUAAUACUGUAUGAGAGAAUUGAUAAUCUCAAUCAUAUUAUUGAUGCGAAUGAUGACUCGAAAUUCCAUAUUCAUUCCUGAUUAGUAAUCAACCUUCCCCGGCAACGGCGCCAAAAAUGCUUGUUGGGCAUUCUUAGCGUCACUACCAAAAGUAGACUUAGUUUUCUAAUUAUGAUAACGGCGCCAAUAAUGCCAAACAUAUCCCUCAUGCCACAUAAGCCAAGUUGUCAUCCCCAGUAUGACAUAAGAGAUGCGGUAUUGAAAUAUGCAAUUGCUCUUCUAAAUAAAUAACAAAUGAGAUCUGCAAGCGCACAGAUUAAUAUCGAUAUAGCAUUUUAACCGGGAAGUAUUCCAGGUAUCGUUAUUUAUAAUUAUACCACUGGGAAGGGAUUGCUAAACAUCAAUGUUGAUUAUAGAAUGGAAUAUAGAAUUGAGUAUCUAUCAUUGCAUGUAUAAUUGAGACCAUCUAUCUAUCUCUUUCAUAUAGGAAUAACUGUCACAUAAAGGAUAUAUAUAAAGUAAUGAAUGGUUGCGAAGAUAAUUAAUCUAAUUAGCAUAACUUAGCCACAUAUAAAUAUGAUAAGCACCUCAAUUAGAUAUUCUAGCAAAUCAUUAGCAUGGAAUUAGGAUGAACUACAAGAAUAAUUCCUAAGUUAUUCUUAACUAUACAGUCUAGCAUAUCAUAGUUAGUGCAAUUAUACUUAGCAAUCAUUGUGAGACAGGACUACACCCAUGCAUAGUGAUAUUAUCAAGGAAUAUGAGAAACAUCGCAAUCACUCCCCUGUAAUAAUGUUGCUCUGCCAGCCUACCCCGCGAAUCAAUGGAGCUAUAUAAGAAUCAAUGGAGCUGUCACUACCAUGAACUACCCCGUGAUCUGGCAUAUCGGGUACAAGCGUAGAUAAAUACGGUAUAGGCACCACGCCUACACAAUAUCUAUCAUUUACCCAUGGAUCCGGUGGAUAAAGGCUCUACGAUCCUAAACAUGUAUAUAAUUCCAAUCUAACUAAGCCAAGUAUAUAACUAUGAUAAACUAAGAAAAAUAUAAUUACGAAUAUAAACAAGUAGAGCAAAGUCAUAACCAAUAUAUUGAAGUAGAACAAAGUCAUAUUCAUAAGAUCAAAGAACAAAGAUGAACAAUUGAAGAACAAUAGAGAAUUACCAAGAAGAUUGACUCCUCUUGACAGAUCUGGAAACCAAUCGAAGAUUGACUCCUUCUAGUUCUAAUCCUAUGUAGCUAUGCUAAACUAGAGAUCUAAUUGAUGUGGUGGCUCUAGGGCAUGAUCAGAGGCUUCUUCUCCCUGAUGAAUAAUGAUUUAGGGUUGAGAGGUGCUCUCCUCCAGGGGCUAGGGGGUCUGGUUAUAUAGUCCUUCCAAGUGAAUAUGGGCCGUCGGAUCAAACCGACAUUGAUUGAACGGUUAUCCUUGAUCCUUUAGGUCGGUGGAGGAUGAUCCCCGAAGAGGACUCUGAUUGGGCACCAAAGGGGGGCGGCCGCCCUGGUCUCUAGGGCGGGAGCCCUGGGCCAGGCUCCGUUCUGCCUCCACUUCGUUCCUGUGGCUUCUGGAGUCUUCUAGACGAUAGAAAAUUGUGCGGCACGUUAAUAUCUCUAUGUAAUCCCGACGUGUGGGCCUUUCUUCCAUUAUUCCUGAUAACCCCCUGUAGAAAUAGACAAACAGCAAAACUCGUGGAAUUUUGUCAGAUAAAACCCUAAGUCUGGAUGUUGAUUGCAUUUGGAUCCUUUUCUUUGUUUAUUUGAUAAUUAAAUUUGAUACUUAAGGACCGUCAACAAACUCCCCCAAGCUUACCACUUGCUCGUCCCUGAGCAAGGAUAAUCUCAACGAUGGAUCAGAAGUUGUUGUAAUGCCUUUAAAAGUUGACGGUACACAUGCUUUUAAAUAAGAUCUCAUCUCUGAGUUAGAGUAAACUGUCAAGACUUAAAACUUAUUCAUUUUACCUUUCACCAUGGGACUUGGAACCGUCACUUCUGUCUUGAGCAGUUAAAAGAUAGAACGGUCUAAUCAAGUGCCAUGUCUCUUAUUCUUGAUCAGCUAUACCUGUGAAGUUUUUGCAGAUUUUCAAAUAAAACUCAGAGAUUCCUUGUAUGACUCUCUCAGAUCUCUCUUUUGUGGUAUUUCUAGAUCCUUAUCAAGGCAGUGAUGGUAUAUGCCUUCUCUCAAGUAUGUAGUAUUUGUGGUACAAGGCAUAGUGAUAUUGUCUUCUCUCUCACCCUACUCUAAUAAGGCUUUGAUAUCUGGAGCUCAUAGGUGGGAGAUAAAAUAUACAUACUUACAAGACAUUUAUUGUAUAAUCAAACCAUGGAUCCAGAGAAACAAGUCAAUAAGUCAAAUCAAGAUGUGCAUGUGUGGCAAAUGAAUGGUAUAUGGUGAUGAUGGUGAUAACAAUGGUGAAAGUCUAAUUCUACUCUUGCUCUUUUAAAGGGUUACAUUCCUUCCUUGCUCUUUUGAAACUUGGGAAGAAUGAGAUGCUCUGUAUUUUUUUUUCUCUCAGGUGGGUAUUUUGUACCCCUAAUUCUACUGUCGGACACUUGUCCAUUUUUACCUCUCGUCUCACUUUUUCUUUUCUUUCGAGGUUCCGGGCACUUGCCCCUUUUUAUUUCCUCGUAUCUUCUUUUUUUUAGAGUACUCAUCUCCUGAAAUAAUAUAGCAAGUGGUAGUAACCAAGAUAAAUUGAGCAUUUAUUUCACAUGGGAAAAUAGAAAUAUUUUUGGCUAUUCUCUCCCGGAUUAGGAGUAGAAUAUUUUUUGGGUGGUUCUGGAGAUGGAAAUGAGUGAAUAUUUUUUGGGUGGUUCUGGUGUUUGAUGUGGUGGCUCUAGGGCUUGAUCAGAGGCUUCUUCUCCCUGAUGAAUAAUGAAUUAGGGUUGAGAGGUGCUCUCCUCCAGGGGCCAAGGGGUCUGGUUAUAUAGUCCUUCCAAGUGAAUAUGGGUCGUCGGAUCAAACCGACAUUGGUUGAACGGUUGUCCUUGAUCCUUUAGGUUAGUGGAGCAUGAUACCCGAAGAGGACUCUGAUUGGGCACCGAAGGGGGGCGGGCGCCCUGGGCCAGGCUCCGUUCUGCCUCCGCUUCGUUCUCGUGGCUUCUGGAGUCUUCUAGACGAUAGAAAAUUGCGCGGCAUGUUAAUAUCUCUAUGUAAUCCCGACGUGUGGGCCUUUCUUCCAUUAUUCCUGAUAACCUCCUGCAAAAAUAGACAAACACCAAAACUUGUGGUAUUCUGUCAGAUAAAACCCUAAGUCUGGAUGUUGAUUGCAUUUGGAUCCUUUUCUUUGUUUAUUUGAUAAUUAAAUUUGAUACUUAAGUACCGUCAACAAGUGUUAAGCCAUUCAUCAGCUUCCAGAGGUUUAGAGGCCUCCUUGAAAACUGGUGGCUUCGUGUCCUAGAAAUCCUUGAAGUUGCUAUACUGAUUCACUUCUCCGCGUUGGCGGGCAUGGCGACCACCCUGGUUUUGCUGUGCCAUAG